UACGUAGGGUGCGAGCGUUAAUCGGAAUUACUGGGCGUAAAGCGUGCGCAGGCGGUGAUGUAAGACAGGUGUGAAAUCCCCGGGCUCAACCUGGGAAUGGCAUUUGGGACUGCAAGGCUUGAGUGCGGCAGAGGAGACUGGAAUUCCUGGUGUAGCAGUGAAAUGCGUAGAUAUCAGGAGGAAUACCGAUGGCGAAGGCAGGUCUCUGGGCUGACACUGACGCUCAUGCACGAAAGCGUGGGGAGCAAACAGG
rnacentral:rRNA from 1 species